UGCAGCCGGGGAGAUAGCGGUGCCCUGUACCUGCAAUCCGCUCCAGCAGGGGUGAUAUCCCGUCUCGGACAUGUUAUUGUGGAGCUGCCUUUUGUAAGUGGCGUUGAAGCUUGGGUCUUACGCAACAGAAAUCCAUGAACCGUGUCAGGGCAGGAAUGCAGCAGCACUAAGUGGAAGCUUCUGUGUGCCGUGAGGGCGCCUGGGCCGAGUUAACUGCAGAAGUAACGUCUGUGAUAAGUGUACAAAACGGGAUGCAC
rnacentral:SRP_RNA from 1 species